rnacentral:snoRNA from 1 species
AAGACUAUGAUUUGAGGGAUCAUUUUUGAAGUUUUUUAACUAGAGGUUUCUCUGGUCCUGUCGAGCACUGGAAGACACAAGGAGGAGCCAGAGAAUCCUCUUCUGAGCACAGCCCGUUCUAGGUGUUACUUUUGUAACUGCCUUUUAUGACUGAUGGUUAUUUUUCUCUUCCCUUGGAAGAUCAAGGGGGAGAAGAUGCAGUCUGAGUGG